GUCCCCUUCGUCUAGAGGUUCAGGACACCGCCCUUUCACGGCGGUAACAGGGGUUCGAAUCCCCUAGGGGACGCCA
rnacentral:tRNA from 1 species